CGGAGGAAAAGAAACCAACAGGGAUUGCCCUAGUAACGGCGAGUGAAGCGGCAACAGCUCAAAUUUGAAAUCUGGCCUUCUUUGGGGGUCCGAGUUGUAAUUUGCAGAGGGCGCUUUGGCGUCGGCAGCGGUCUAAGUUCCUUGGAACAGGACGUCACAGAGGGUGAGAAUCCCGUACGUGGUCGCCUGCCUUCGCCGUGUAAAGCCCCUUCGACGAGUCGAGUUGUUUGGGAAUGCAGCUCUAAAUGGGAGGUAAAUUUCUUCUAAAGCUAAAUACUGGCCAGAGACCGAUAGCGCACAAGUAGAGUGAUCGAAAGAUGAAAAGCACUUUGGAAAGAGAGUCAAACAGCACGUGAAAUUGUUGAAAGGGAAGCGCUUGCCGCCAGACUUGCCCGUGAAGGUUCUCCUCCUCGGGCAGGCCAGCAUCAGUUUGAGCGAUCGGAUAAUGGCCUCUGUCAUGUAUCUUCCUUCGGGAUGACCUUAUAGGGGAGUCGUAGUACGGUCAGCUUGGACUGAGGUCCGCGC
rnacentral:rRNA from 1 species